rnacentral:rRNA from 1 species
CAAUCAACAAAGAGUAUAUGGUGGAGAUCUAGGGACCUAGAGCCGAUGAAGGGCGUGAUAACCGACGAUAUGCUCCGGGGAGCAGGACGUAUGCUUUGAUCCGGAGAUUCCCGAAUAGGGCAACCUUAAAAAUUCCUUCUUGAAUUCAUAGAGAAGAGAAAGACAACUCAGUGAACUGAAACAUCUUAGUAGCUGAAGGAAAAGAAAGCAAAAGCGAUUCCCAAAGUAGCGGCGAGCGAAAUGGGACCAGUCUAAAAGAAACAUGUAUGUUUCUGGUUAUAGGACCAAACACAAAGGUAUAGAAAAUCUUGAGAAACGAAGCAGCUGAAACCUGCGCCAUAGAUGGUGAAAGCCCAGUCGUUGAAUCUUGACUCAAUGCCGUUUGGCUCCCAAGUAGUAUGGGGCACGUGAAAUCCCGUAUGAAUUCGCGAGGACCACCUCGUAAGACUAAAUACUCCUAGGUCACCGAUAGCGAAAAGUACCGCGAGGGAAAGAUGAAA